AACCAUAGAAACCUGCGGAGUACCUGCGGAAGGAUCAUUACUGAAUAAACUUGAUAAGUUGUAGCUGGCUCCAUUCGAGCAUGUGCACACUUGUCAUCUUUAUCUUUCCACCAUGUGCACUAUGCAUAGGUUCUGAUGAAAUGUGAUCAAGGGUUUCUAAUCCUUGGUUAUUGGAAAUUGCUGUUGGCAACAACGGCUUUUUCUGUUCAUCAGUGCCUGUGACUUAUAAAUACACCAAGU
rnacentral:misc_RNA from 1 species